rnacentral:rRNA from 1 species
AACGCGUAGGUAUCUAUCCUCGGGUGGGGGACAACCACGGGAAACUGUGGCUAAUACCGCAUGAUGACUGAGGUCCAAAGGCGCAAGUCGCCUGGGGAGGAGCCUGCGUCCGAUUAGCUUGUUGGUGGGGUAACGGCCUACCAAGGCUCCGAUCGGUAGCUGGUCUGAGAGGAUGAUCAGCCACACUGGGACUGAGACACGGCCCAGACUCCUACGGGAGGCGGCAGUGGGGAAUAUUGGACAAUGGGCGAAAGCCUGAUCCAGCAAUGCCGCGUGGGUGAAGAAGGUCUUCGGAUUGUAAAGCCCUUUCGGCGGGGACGAUGAUGACGGUACCCGCAGAAGAAGCCCCGGCUAACUUCGUGCCAGCAGCCGCGGUAAUACGAAGGGGGCUAGCGUUGCUCGGAUUGACUGGGCGUAAAGGGCGCGUAGGCGGCUUGUACAGUCGGACGUGAAAUUCCUGGGCUCAACCUGGGGGCUGCGUUUGAUACGUAUGGGCUUGAGUUCGGAAGAGGGUCGUGGAAUUCCCAGUGUAGAGGUGAAAUUCGUAGAUAUUGGGAAGAACACCGGUGGCGAAGGCGGCGACCUGGUCCGAUACUGACGCUGAGGCGCGAAAGCGUGGGGAGCAAACAGGAUUAGAUACCCUGGUAGUCCACGCCGUAAACGAUGUGCGCUGGAUGUUGGGUGACAUAGUCAUUCAGUGUCGUAGCUAACGCGAUAAGCGCACCGCCUGGGGAGUACGGCCGCAA